AUUGAACGCUGGCGGCAGGCCUAACACAUGCAAGUCGAACGGUAACAGGAAGAAGCUUGCUUCUUUGCUGACGAGUGGCGGACGGGUGAGUAAUGUCUGGGAAACUGCCUGAUGGAGGGGGAUAACUACUGGAAACGGUAGCUACUACCGCAUAACGUCGCAAGACCAAAGAGGGGGACCUUCGGGCCUCUUGCCAUCGGAUGUGCCCAGAUGGGAUUAGCUAGUAGGUGGGGUAACGGCUCACCUAGGCGACGAUCCCUAGCUGGUCUGAGAGGAUGACCAGCCACACUGGAACUGAGACACGGUCCAGACUCCUACGGGAGGCGGCAGUGGGGAAUAUUGCACAAUGGGCGCAAGCCUGAUGCAGCCAUGCCGCGUGUAUGAAGAAGGCCUUCGGGUUGUAAAGUACUUUCAGCGGGGAGGAAGGGAGUAAAGUUAAUACCUUUGCUCAUUGACGUUACCCGCAGAAGAAGCACCGGCUAACUCCGUG
rnacentral:rRNA from 1 species